CAGAAAUUGGCAAAUGAAUCCUAAAAUUCACAUGGAAAUGCAAAGGACACGGAAUAAGCAAAACAAUCCUGACAAAGAACAAGGCAUUGGGUGCUGGAGAUCCAUAAUACAGUGGAUCCUUAACUGACUGGAAGCAUCACUUUCAGAGCAUCAUUUCAGGAUGAGUGUUUGAGUGCCAAGUGAAUUCAAGCUACAGGGCUAAGGAUCCAUGGCCUCAGUCACCAUGAAGACCCUCCCAAGAGCCAGUCCUACGAGGCACAUAGAAACGAGUGGAGACAGAACUCACUCCUGCAAAGCCUAGAACCUGAUAGAGCACACGAGACAGGAGCCCAAAUAACCAAGAACCGGGAGCUGAAUGUGAGAGGUGGGCUCCAAAGGAUUCGGCCACCAAGGUGGAGAAGGCCAUGAGCUGUAUGGGAGAAGGAACUCAUCACAGUGCCUGGCCCGGGAAGGCUAUUCAUAAACAUGCAGUGAAAGAAUACACAGGCUCUUCCAACAAGAAGAGAGACUGGACCUUACAAGACCCAACAGGAAGGCACUGUCUCAAAACCAGUGAAAAAUACCAAGGAUCUAGAUAAGAGGGUGCAGUGGGAAAUGAAAUAGUGGGGUCUGGGGAGACGCCCCAUAUUUGUCAAUGACUCAUAAUCUUUCUCCCGAGAUCGCUCCUCCACCCUUGUGUUCAGCUCCACCAACACUUACACCAGCCACUGAAGCCAGAAACCUGGGAGACUUCUGCCCUCAUCCGGCCCCAUCUAGCCAAAGACCAGAACCUGUCAUUUCAACCUCAUGUUCACCUCACUGCCCUUCCCACUGCUCCUGCCUUAGUUCAGACAACUGCCCUCGC
rnacentral:lncRNA from 10 species